CCAAAAUUCUGUUACCUCCGCAUUCUUGUGACAUCAUGUAUUUGGCAAGGAGAAUGGAAUUCAGAGCACUACAAAGCAGAAUUCAAAUCAUGUUUGCAUUAAGCACCUGUGAGGUGCUAAGUGGGACUCAAGUUUGAGUUUGGACUCAAGUUUGGAAUCAGAAGAGGAACAAAGUGAGUGGCUAACUGGUGAGAACAAGUGUGAGCCUCAGAAGAUUAGGGAAGAGAAAUGCAGUCGAAGAAAACUUUUUGCAAUUUUCAUACUGAAAUGCCCCCACGAGAUACAGAACUUGUGAAAGGUGAUUAAGGCCAUUGCACACAUUCAGGAAAACCUGGCAUUUGAAGCAGACAUGGAGAGCACACAGUGCUAUGUCUCUCCUUUGGUGGCAUCCUUGCACCAUUCACUGCUGCUUGCUCUCCGGUUUGAGUCCUCUAGAAGCAACGAGUGGUCCCGAAGCUCAAGAGAAGGAAUGAUGACCAGAAGCACUGGCUCUAAUAACCCUCAGACUAGAUGCUUGAGAAGUCCGUUUUGUCAACCUUGUUUAGACAAAUAAGAAACUCAGGGAAAUGAACAGCUUGAUAAUGUUGACCCAGCAAGUGGCAACGCUGGCACCAAGGCUACCUGCCCCUGAACCUUAAGACAGCUACAAAGCCUUGGGACGUGGAAGACUUCCCUUCAGUCUUAACCCCAAUAAAACUCUUCCAAAGACACUUUGCCGUGUGUUCUCUUGAACCUCUUAUCACUUGCAUUAUCCCUAGUUUCAGAGCAUUCCCACUCAGAGAAUUGCUAUGACAGUGAGAGCUCUGCAGAAAUAAUGAUCAACGUGCCUCAGC